ensembl:lncRNA
GUUUUAUAAUGGAAGCAGGAACUUGGUUUCUUAAGUUGAGUUUGAGUCAUACACAAGACAGGCAAGGAGAAAACUCUGGAGACAUCUGAUGUGCUACACAGGUAGAAAGCCUGGCAGUUUGAGGCUAGAAUGGACUGCAGAACAAGACUUAAGAAAAGAAAGAAAUCACCUGUGACCCCUAUGUCCUGCAGCUGCUUCCCCCAAGGAUGCGAUGUAGGAGAAGCACGUAAGGACAUGUCAGGCUGCCUUCAUGGUGUUUUAGCCCUUCAGGAGACCAAUCAGAUUAUAGAAAUUACCAACCUUGGAAAGGAACUCAACAGAAUAGUCAGUGUUCUGGGAAUGAGAUGAAGCAGUUAUUAAAGUAUUGUCACCUUUGUCAGACAACCUUAGCUCUCACCUCUCGUAAAAGAAGCUUCUUUUGUGGCAGAGACCCUUGAGGAAAGCCACAACUGGUCAAAAUGUGGGAUACUGUGAUGGUUUGUAUAUGCUUGGCUCAGGGAGUGGCACUAUUAGAAGGUGUGGCCUUGUUGGAGUAGGUGUGUCACUGUGGGUGUGGGCUUAAGACCCUUACCCUGGCUGCCUGGAAGUCAGUCUUACACUAGCAGCCUUCAGAUGAAGAUGUAGAACUCUCAGCUCCUCCUGCACCAUGCCUGCCUGGAUGCUGCCAUGUUCCCACCUUGAUGAUAAUGGACUGAACCUCUGAACCUGUAAACCAGCC